rnacentral:lncRNA from 1 species
AAGCAAUCCUCCUUUCUCAGCUUCCCAAAGUUCUGGGAUUACAGGCAUGAGCCACUUCACCCAGCCUGAGAUAGGUGCUCUUAUAUGCUGAUAAUGGGAGAGCUUUCUAGAAAGCAGUGUGUGCUUUGGCAGCUUUUAAGGCAUUUAUAUUCGUCUGUUCUCACGCUGCUGAUAAAGACAUACUGAAGACUGGGUAAUUUAUAAAGGAAAGAGGUUUAAUGGACUUACAGUUCCACAUGGCUGGGGAUGCCUCACAAUCGUGGCACAAGGCAAAUGAACAAAGUCUCGUCUUACUUGGCGGGAGGUAUUUUAGGCUUUUCCUUUUUAAAAUUCUCUACAACUAUUAUGAUUUUAAGAAGGGGAAGAGUUAGAAGCAUUUACAGACUUUUCACAACAAUGACCCUGCCUGUGUGUCAGCCAGGCCCUGGGGAGACAACGGAGACAAAAAACCAAGUCCCUGCACUCAUGGAACUUACUUCUUGGCCCUGGUACGUGAUGUUCCCCACCCUGUGUCCAAGUGUUCGAAAUGAGGAGAUUUAUUAUGAAAAUUGGCUCACACAAUUAUGGAGGCCUUCAAGAAGUCCCACAAUAUCGGCCGGGCGCGGUGGCUCACACCUGUAAUCCCAGCACUUUGGGAGGCCAAGGCGGGCGGAUCACCUGAGUUCAAGAGUUCCAGACCAGCCUGGCCAACAUGGUGAAACCUUGUCUCUACUAAAAAUACAAAAAAAAAAAAAAAAAAAAAAAAUUAGCUGGGCGUGGUAGCAUGCGCCUGUAGUCCCAGUUACUCAGGGAGGCUGAGCAAUUCAAGGAGAAUUGCUUGAACCCAGGAGGCAGAGGUUGCAGUGAGCCAAGAUCGUACCACUGCACUCCAGCUUGGGUGACAGAGGAAGACUCUAUCUCAAAAAAAAAAAAAAAAAAGAAGAAGAAAGAAGAAGUCCCACAAUAUGCCAUCUGCAAGCUGGAGAAACAGCAAAGCUGAUGAUGUAAUUCAGUCCCAGUAUGAAGGCCUGAGAACCAGGAAUUCUGAUAUCUGAGGGCAGGAGAAGAUGGAUAUCCCAGCUGAAGAAGAGAGAGGGAGAAAGAAAGUGAGGGAGACAGAGAGAGAGAAUUUGCCCUUCCUCCACUUUUCUUGUUCUAUUUGGCCCUCAAAACAUUGGAUGAUGCCACCCACACAGGGGAGAGUGGAUCUGCUUUACUCAGUCUACUGAGUCAAAUGCUAAUCUCUUCCAGAAACACCCUCACAAACACACCCAGGAAUAACGUUUACCAGCUACCUGGGCAUCCCUUAGCCCAGUCAAGUUGACACCUAACAUUAACCAUCACAGACAUGGAAAGUGGCAAACCCUGGAGAUCUGCAGGAUAUGUCAGAAUCCAAAACCUCAGCAAGGUUGGUAAAAGAGGGCAGAGGCAAAGAGAAUCAGACUUAAGUAUUGCCAGAGAGCUCAUCAAUUUUCUGCUUUAGAUCUCAGGGCAGGAAAGGCCCAGGGCUUGUGAAAUAUUUGGAGCCUGUAAAAAUAUCUGGGACCUUGAAAAACAGUAUUGCUCUAAAAUACAGCUCAAGACCAGCCUGGGCAACAUGGCAAAAACCACCAUCUCUACAAAAAGUACAAAAAUUAGCUGGGCGUGGUAGCUUGCACUUGUCCCAGCUACUCAGGAGGCUGAGGUGGAAGGAUUGCUGGUCUGGGAGGCAGAGGUUGCAGUGAGCUGAGAUCACACCACUGCCCUCUAGCCUGGGUGACAGAGCUGUCUCAAAAAAAAAAAAAUUAAUAAAAUAUAAAGAGAAAAUUUCAAAAUAUAAGUUAAUAAAUGUGAAACAAGUGUGUAUAAAGCACUUCAUUCUUGUCAACUUCAUUAAUUGUUCAAUAUUGCAUUCAUAAAAAUUUCCUUAUAUUGGGAAAUAAAUUGCAAAUUAGCAUACUGGUGAAGGGCAUGAACUGUGAAGCCAAAUUGCCUGUGUCCAAAUUCUGGCUCCACUCUUUACUGUGUAACUUGCAGCAAGUUACUCAACAUCUCUGAGCUUCAGUGUCCUCAUUCUUUCUAAUCCCAUAAAUAAAUUAUAUCACUAACCUCAUAGAUUUUUUUAUUUUUUUUGAGACAGAGUCUCGCUCUGUCACCCAGACUGGAGUGCAAUGGCAUGAUCUCGGCUCACUGCAACCUCUGCCUGCUGGGUUCAAGUGAUGCUCCUGUCUUAGCCUCCCAAGUAGCUGGGACUACAGGCGCCCACCACCACGCCAGCUAAUUUCUGUAUUUUUAGUAGUGACAGGGUUUCACCAUAUUGGUCAGGCUGGUCUCCCAACUCCUGACCUUAGGUGAUCCACCCGCCUUGGCCUCCCAAAGUGCUGGGAUUACAGGCAUGAGCCACCACACCCAGCCACUAACCUCAUAGAUUUUUAAGAGGAUUAAAUGGGCAAAAGACUUGGAACAGUGCAUGGCACAUUCUCUGUACUAGACGUGUACUAAUUGUUGUUAUUAUUUUCUCACUUGGAAAGAUUCCAAAACAUGAACUGAUAUGUAAGAAAUCAUAACCAAAUUAAAUGAGUUAUUCAAACAUAAGUAAUUUUAAAAGCAAAAUUAUACUCUUUCCAAAGAAUUUCUUAUAUUUUAUCAAUGAAAAUUUCAAGCAAAUACAGAUGUAAAAAUAAAGAUGCAAAGAGAGGCUGGGCGCAGUGGCUCAUGCCUGUAAUCCCAGCAGUUACAGUUGAUGUGUAAUAUAGCCGGUGCUAUUUUAAUGUUUGCUACAAUAGGUAGGCAAGCUGAAAAAGCUCCGAAAAAGCCAAGCAAGCUGCUUUUAUCUUCCGACCCAGACAAAAUCCCUCUCCAAACUGGGCCAGUUUAAGGUCAAUAAGUGAUUGCAAUCAGCUGGCUCAAGUGGGUGCUUCCUGGAAUGGCGAAGCUAGGCAGUUUUGCCAGAAGUCGUUGCUGUGAGCAUCAGGGUUCAGAGUUGAGUCUUCAACACCAGACCUCUGCGAUGGGCUUCCGGAUUCGAGGCCCCGUCCCUUUCUCAGAAGGUAAGGCUUGCGUCAGGUGAACCACAUUGGUCGUUUGGCUCUAACAAUAACGGCGCCUUAGAAUGAACACUUCAGCCUCGUUUUGUCUCUUUACACUCAUAAUAACCCCUUGCAGAGUAAGGAAGGCGAGUGACUUCUAGUCCUGGAGACGGGGCCUGCAAGAGCCAGAGGUCAGUGCUCCUGGAGGGGAGCAGGGGGCGGGGACAGGGCAGGCGGAGGGCGGAGCUAGGGGGGAAGGGCGGGGCCUGUGGAAAGGGGGCGGGGCCCAAGGGCUGGAGGCUGGCCGGCUGGGGUGCGGCGGUGGACCUGCAGGUCUCCCCAGUCACCUGAGCCCAACCAGCGCAGCAGAGACUCUUUCUGCAGCAAAAAGAUCCCUCCAACCAAGUCAACUUGUUCUUCCUUCCCUCACGGUCUCCAUAACCCCAGCCAAGAAGGAGGCGACGCCAUGGAGUGGAAGAGUAAGGAAGGCAGAAGGGAAGGGCCAGAGGAGGCCCAGUGGGUGGAAUAGGCUGGAAUACUCGGUCUUCUUCCACACGUACUCUUAGGCUGCUCCUCUGCAACCAGGCCUCUCUGGGAGAUCUUGUCUUCUACAAAAUGUGUGCCGUGCCUUGUUACUAAGUCUGAUUAAUUUGCUGUAAUUGGGAAUUAAAUUAACUUAGGAAGCCUAGAUGCAUUAGGGGUAAUUGGAUCCCGGGAUGGCAGCACUCAACCCCUCCCCGCAACAAGGCAAGGUGGGCGUGGUUAUCAUACAGAACAGCAGAGUCAAAGCUGCAAUCAGAAUAGCUUGACAGAUGCAAACCUAGGGCGUUGGCUGAUUGCUGAUGGUGUUCCUACAAGUGAAAUAGAUGGGAAGCCUACUAAAUUCUUCCUGGAUCUGCAUAAGCAGAAAACUUCUAGGUCAAGUGAACAAAAGCCUAAGCUGAAUCAUAAAAAGUAGAAUCAUGGUGCUCAACCAAUUUUCAGACUUGAGCCUGUGUACAGACCUUGAACCCCUUGAAUAAAGGAAAGGUCAGAUCCCCUUGAGGAAGGACCUGGAUACACCACUGGAAAUACGUAUACUGUUAAUCUUUCUCCCAGUCUAGGGGAGGGACCUACAGCCUUUUACCAGUAUAACUGUACACUGGGGAAGAGAUAACUCUACAAUUCCUUUCGGGACUUCUUGACAUUUGCUCUAAACUGAUGUUGGUUUCAGGAGACCUAAAACAUCACUGUGGUCCACCAGAGUAGGGGCUUAUGGAGGUCAGGUGCUCAAUGAAGUUUUAACUCACAGUGGGCCCAGUGGGUCUCCAAAACCACCUGCAGUUAUUUCCCCAGUUUAAGAAUACAUAAUUGGGGCCGGGCACAGUGGCUCAUGCCUGUUAUUCCAGCACUUUGGGAGGCCGAGGCGGGUGGAUCACCUGAGGUCAGGAGUUCGAGACCAGCCUUGCCAACGUGGCGAAACCCUGUCUCUACUAAAAAAUACAAAAAUUAGCUGGGUGCAGUGGCAGGC